AACAGAUUUACUUCGGUAAUGACGUUAGGAAAGCGAGCGGCGGAUGGGUGAGUAACACGUGGGGAACCUGCCCCAUAGUCUGGGAUACCACUUGGAAACAGGUGCUAAUACCGGAUAAGAAAGCAGAUCGCAUGAUCAGCUUUUAAAAGGCGGCGUAAGCUGUCGCUAUGGGAUGGCCCCGCGGGGCAUUAGCUAGUUGGUAAGGGAAAGGCUUACCAAGGCGAUGAUGCAUAGCCGAGUUGAGAGACUGAUCGGCCACAUUGGGACUGAGACACGGCCCAAACUUCUACGGGAGGCAGCAGUAGGGAAUCUUCCACAAUGGACGCAAGUCUGAUGGAGCAACGCCGCGUGAGUGAGGAAGGUUUUCGGAUCGUAAAGCUCUGUUGUUGGUGAA
rnacentral:rRNA from 1 species